CCUACGGGUGGCUGCAGUGGGGAAUAUUGGACAAUGGGGGGAACCCUGAUCCAGCGACGCCGCGUGAGCGAUGAAGUAUUUCGGUAUGUAAAGCUCUAUCAGCAGGGAAGAAAAUGACGGUACCUGACUAAGAAGCCCCGGCUAACUACGUGCCAGCAGCCGCGGUAAUACGUAGGGGGCAAGCGUUAUCCGGAUUUACUGGGGGUAAAGGGAGCGUAGACGGCUGUGCAAGCCCGAUGUGAAAGCCCGGGGCUCAACCCCGGGACUGCAUUUGGAACUGGGUGGCUGGAGUGUCGGAGAGGCAGGCGGAAUUCGUAGUGUAGCGGUGAAAUGCGUAGAUAUUAGGAGGAACACCAGUGGCGAAGGCGGCCUGCUGGACGAUGACUGACGUUGAGGCUCGAAAGCAUGGGGAGCAAACAGGAUUAGAUACCCCAGUAGUC
rnacentral:rRNA from 1 species